rnacentral:rRNA from 1 species
UACGGGGGGGGCAAGCGUUGUUCGGAAUUACUGGGCGUAAAGGGUCUGUAGGUGGCUUGUUAAGUCAGACGUGAAAUCCCUCGGCUUAACCGGGGAACUGCGUCUGAUACUGGCGAGCUUGAGUGCAGGAGAGGAACGCGGAAUUCCAGGUGUAGCGGUGAAAUGCGUAGAUAUCUGGAGGAACACCGGUGGCGAAGGCGGCGUUCUGGACUGCAACUGACACUGAGAGACGAAAGCCAGGGGAGCAAACGGG